rnacentral:tRNA from 1 species
CUCCAAUUCGCCUAGUCUGGUAUGGCAUUCCCUUUGGGAGGGAAAAUAACGGAAGUUCGAAUCUUUCAUUGGAGACCA